rnacentral:rRNA from 1 species
CCUACGGGAGGCUGCAGUGGGGAAUAUUGGACAAUGGGCGAAAGCCUGAUCCAGCCAUGCCGCGUGUGUGAAGAAGGCCUUCGGGUCGUAAAGCACUUUCAGUGGGGAAGAAAGCCUUGGGGCUAAUACCCUCGAGGAAGGACAUCACCCACAGAAGAAGCACCGGCUAACUCCGUGCCAGCAGCCGCGGUAAUACGGAGGGUGCGAGCGUUAAUCGGAAUUACUGGGCGUAAAGCGCGCGUAGGCGGUCUGAUAAGCCGGUUGUGAAAGCCCCGGGCUCAACCUGGGAACGGCAUCCGGAACUGUCAGGCUAGAGUGCAGGAGAGGAAGGUAGAAUUCCCGGUGUAGCGGUGAAAUGCGUAGAGAUCGGGAGGAAUACCAGUGGCGAAGGCGGCCUUCUGGACUGACACUGACGCUGAGGUGCGAAAGCGUGGGUAGCAAACAGGAUUAGAUACCCGAGUAGUC